rnacentral:lncRNA from 1 species
UCAGCUAUUCUUUAACCUGGAGGGGCGCAAAACCAAAAUUGAGUGGGUCAGUAAAACAAUUCUUUUCCAAAUCCAAACAUUUCUCAAAACGUUGUAACCCUCUCCGUAAAACCUGUAUACUUUCCCAGAAAUGUAAAAUAUAAAUAUACAUAUAUAUUCUCAAAACUUCAUUUUUACUAUCUCAACAUUUUUCUUUAUCAAUCAUGCCAUGCCAUGUCUAAUUCAACAGUUAAGUAUGGAUGCAUCAACAAUAAUCAUAUCAGGUACAAGAAAGUAAUCAACCGGAGGCCCUCUAAUAGCCCUGUACGGUUGAACCUAGAGCUCAAAAUCUAUCACUCUCACACUCUGCCGGAGUCACUCCGCGUGACCUGUACGGCCUUCUGCACAUAAGUUACGCUCUAGUGCUUCUCAUAAUCAUCUGUGCACAUAAUCUAAGGUCACCCACCAGUCGGAAUCUCACUAACACUCUCGCGACUGGCCUGUCGUACCCACUCCGCGUGGACUGUACGACUAGCAUCUACUUGGAUCCAAGACGAGCGUGCGAUGCGGUGAAUACUAUAAGCACUAAACUAUGGUGCAGGAUUUGAGCUCAAUAUACAUCAACAUCAUCAUAACAGAAAUAAAUAAUCACAUGUGCGUCCACCGCACCAUUUCAUACAUAUGCAUCAUAAAUCAAUUCUUACCUGUGCGUCCACCGCACCAAUUCAUACAUAUGCAUCAUAAAUCAAUUCUUACCUGUGCGUCCACCGCACCAAUUCAUACAUAUGCAUCAUAUAUUAAUUCAUGCAUGGCAUUUCAACUCACAUUUCUAUAUACUUUUCAUAUCAAUUCUAUGCAUGGUAUUUCACUUCCCGUUUUUCCACAUAACUCAUAUGCAUUUCAUUUUAAACAUAUUUUCAUUUCAAUUCAAUUUCUGGGAAACGUCAAGUAUAUAUAUAUACGGAAAACAAAACUGCCCACUCACCUGGAGUUCGCCCUACAACUCCCUAGCAUAAUACACCAAGGCGUCAUGACGAUCGCCGCCUAGAACAUUAAUCAAUUCUAAUCUCAGAAUUCGUAUCGAUAGAAUAUAUAACUUAUAUAAAAUACGUCACUACGUAGUUCGAUCCGGAAGAUCUGCCACUCAGAUUUUAAAUCCAUAACUUCCAGAGGUCCACAAUAUAUCUCUAGGAUAACAUCCUAAAAUUUCAUCACCAUCCAACGGUCGGAUCGUCAAUUCAC